UGGAGACUCUGAGAGUCAACGGCAGAGAGAUUAAAGCUUCCACAGACAAAGCCUUGAGUGUGCAGCCUGCUGCUGAAAAAGGAGAUCUGCUCUCAGAGGGCCCGUCAUCGUUACAUAAAGGU